UUUAUUCUCUUAUAAAAGUCUGUUUAUUAUUUUUAAGUCACCUUCAGACGGUGCAUCCCUUUGAUGCUGGCAUCUAGGGUGCACUGCUCCCACUGGCCCCCACCUCUUGGCACACCACUAAAAGACGGGGAGACCUCCAAAAUGAAGCGUCCCACACUAUCUCUAGGUCAAAGAGAACUUGUCUAUGCCACACCAAUAGAAAGAGCUCUCCCAAAAGAGAAAUUAAAAAAAAUCAAACUGUAACUAUUUUCACUACUGUAGUUGGUAUUACUGUAAGUGGUUCAAAUAUAUUAUAUAUUAACAUAACAACUGAAAUGCUGAUUUGUUUUCAACUUGUAUUCAUCUAACAAACAGACAUAUUUUCACGAUGAAAAAUAACUUACAACCAAAAGAAAAUGUAGUGUCAUCUCAGCAUAAUUAGGGAAAAAUGCCCUUUUGCCAUAUUUUAUUCUUUCAGAGAUCAUAAAAAAGGUCGGUAGCUUAAAAGUAUCAAUAGUUGACUCCCCUAAAAGUUGAAAUUUACUUUCAGCUUCAUAAGGAACCGACAGACUUGUCUCGCUUCUGUAAUUCCACUGUAAAUAAAAUACCCUAAUAAUAUUAAAAAUAAAAUUUGCAUACGGAAACAAGUUCCUUCAACCGAAUUUCUGAUGUUACCGGUCCUAGUCUAAAUGCUUUCUAGGUAUGUGACCUGGAGAUAAAAUAAGCAGCCUUAAACACAUUGCGAGGAGAUUUGUUGAAAAUAGAUGCAAGCACAAGAAAUUAUGAGACGGCAACAUCUGAUCUGAAGGCAUUAAACACAGAGCAGCUCAGAAAGACUAGGUGCAAGGGGCAGGUCAGCUCCAUCUCAACAUCUACAGGGCUAAAAGCUAAGUCACUAUUGACUACGUCACUGAGUGACUAAGUGACUAGUGAUGAAGUCACUAUUAGUGACUAUGUGACACAUGUGAUCAGAGACCAAGUCAUCACUUCCAGCACUGUGUUUGUAACUGUCUGGAAUGAAGGCAUUGUCACAGACUUUACUAUAGUUACCACCUUUACAAAGAAAAGAACAACAGAGCACAAGCUAACCUAAUAAAACUCAUCUAAGAGACUGUAAUCACUUGACUUUGAGAAUCUUCAAGGAUUUGACUGGAAGCUGUCUUCCACAAAGAAUUCUUCCUAAACGAGACCAUGCCCAAUUCAAACCGUGGUGACCGCGGCAGGCUGUCGACGCCCCCAGCCCCCACGUAGUACUCAAGGGUCAACUGUGACAUCACAGCACUACUAUGAAAAUCAUGUUGACCUUGCAGAUUCUCUGAAAGGAUUCUGGGGGUAACUAGCGGUUCCCAGAUCGGAGUUUGAGAACUGCUGAUGUGAGGGUACGUGCAUUUGUGUAUGUGGCUUGAGUUAAGACGGAAACACAAUGUGAAGACGCAUGAGGCGAGACAAAAGCAUUUGAGGAGAACAGACAUCAUAAACAACGGGGGAUGAGGCUAAGGACAUUAAUCAGGAACCAGAACAUAAAAGUCUUUUUACUCCAAGAAUAACAGGAAGCCCUCCAUUAAAGAUCUCUUUAAUAAGAGAAUAUCAAUUAUAUUUUACUGGGAAAACAUAUCUUUGGCUGCCUUUUGAAUGCUUUGGGAGAGCAAAUGAGAACAGGAGGCAGAGAAGCCACUGAAAAGUAAACAGCGUUAAAGUAAUUCAGCUGAGAGACGGUGGCGGUGGCUGCACAACGGUGGUUUCUAUACAGAGGACACGGACCGGAGUGCGCGAGGCAGGACCAGUAGCACUUGGUGACAGGAUACUGGUCAGAAGGAAGGAGGAGGAGUCAAAGAUAAUGAUUUCUGCCGAGGCAGCAGGUUACCAGCAACAUUACCGA